rnacentral:miRNA from 1 species
UAGGGUGACCAACCAUCCUGGUUUGCCUGGGACUAAGGGCGUUCCUGGGAUGUGGGACUUUCAGUGCUA